GAAAAUAAAUAAUGGGGUUUUUUUUGCAUUUAGUCCCCUAGAAAAUUUUUAUUUUAAAAAUAGCUCUGUCAAAAUUUAAUUUGCAAAAAUGGCAUUAGGCCUGUCACGUCAGGGCCACGUGGGCAGGGCCGAGGCCCGUGUGUUAAGUUGAACACGGUAAAUCAUUCACUGUGUCUAAACACGGUUAAUGGUUUACUGUAUUUAGUACGUAUUUUUUGUAUAUUAAAAAGAUGAAUAGAAAAUUUGUAUUCCUUUUCUUCUCUUUUUUAGAAAAACCCGAAAACCAAAUUAAAAUCCAAACCCGGAUCCGAACCCGACGGAUUUUAAAAAUUCAUACCAUAUCCAUAUCCGACCAAAAACUCGAAACCCGAACCUGAACCCAGCGGGUUUUAAAAAUUUAUACCGUUGGAUGAAAAUCUAAGGAAUAAAAAUUAUUAAAUAUUUUAUAUAUUGUAUAAAUAAAUAAAAAUAAAUUUUAUAUAUAUAUAUAUAUAUAUAUAUAUAUAUAUAUAAUUUAUUCGGAUUUGGAUUCGGAUAAUAUUUCGGAU
rnacentral:lncRNA from 1 species